rnacentral:rRNA from 1 species
UUGAACGCUGGCGGCGUGCCUAACACAUGCAAGUCGAGCGGUAACAGGUGUAGCAAUACAUGCUGACGAGCGGCGGACGGGUGAGUAACGCUUGGGAAUCUGCCUGUUAGUGGGGGACAACCCGGGGAAACUCGGGCUAAUACCGCAUACGCACUACGGUGGAAAGCCGGGGACCGCAAGGCCUGGCGCUAACAGAUGAGCCCAAGUCGGAUUAGCUAGUUGGUAGGUAACGGCCACCAAGGCGACGAUCCGUAACUGGUCUGAGAGGACGACCAGUCACACCGGAACUGAGACACGGUCCGGACUCCUACGGGAGGCAGCAGUGGGGAAUAUUGGACAAUGGGCGAAAGCCUGAUCCAGCGAUGCCGCGUGUGUGAAGAAGGCCUGCGGGUUGUAAAGCACUUUC